CUCCCUCGUUCAUGGAUUUUACGCAAGUCGCCGGGCUGUACAAGACAUGCACACCGCCGGCUACCGGGGAACUAGCGUGCUACGGCGUUAGUCAUGGCUGCUCUAUCUAUCGAAUGAUUCUGCCGAAGUGUUGGCGUGUUGUGUCCUCAAGUUCACCACUGCAUAUACUUGAUCUACGCUCUAAAUCGGAAGGUAUGUCCAUACACAAACUUCAGCCAGUAGCUAGUUUUCUUCAUAUGACCUCUAAAGCCAAUAUUUUACUUCACAAAUGAGGCGUAAUCUUUUUAAUUUGCCUUUUCUAGUUUGAGUUGUCUAGAUUUUUCUUAGAUCCCAUUCACUUAAAUUUGCACAUUAGUUAGCAUAUAAUUCAUUCUUGAAAGUUUACAAUCUAAGAAUAAUGUUAAAGCAACUUUUGUCCGUGAUUAAAGUGUGAGAGAUGCCAACGCAAAAAAAAGUGAGAGGUGAGAUGACGAAGGGUGGAUGUCAAUUCAAAGACAUGGAGAAAUGGCCGAGAUAAAAAAAAAUAUGCACUUACUAAUACAUAGUAAAAUUUUGGUAUGACACAAGAACAAAGGGAAGACAUUUUAAUAUCAUACUUUUUAUGCGAUCAUAUUCUUCUUCGCCCCCCUCAAGUCUAAAUCCUGGCUUCGCCCCUGCUACCAAAUAGGCAUAAAAUUGGAUGGGUCAACUAAAUUAAAAAGAACGAGUACUUUGGUGACCCAGGGAGAAACAAUGCUAAGCAUGCGUACCUAGAUGGACGCGCAGUUCUUAGUCCACGAGUGAAGGAAGCUUACCACCCAAAAGUUAAGCACAUAUGCAUUGGGGACUUGAGUGGCAACAGCUCAAGCUCCGCUUUGAUCGGCAACCUCCAACUUUUUUUCUGAAAAAGGCUUUCGCCCCGCUUUGUAUAUAAAGCAUCGACCAACGACAACCCGGUACAAGCGCACGCCACCACAACACCCGCACCCACUCAAGGCAAGAUACAUAAGCGCUGAACGCAGCAACACCACCCAAAGCACUACAAGAGCAGCCGGGUGCUCGCCCGUGAACACACCACCGCAAAGAGAUGAAGCCGCAUAUGACGAAUCGUGGGCUUCAAGGCGGUGCCUUCAGGAAGGAUACAACACCGGAGCGCCGCCACCGCCCGACCCGAGAGUCAGAGUUUCCCCUAGAGCAACACGACGGGCAAUGAUGGCCGCGACGACACCUUCAGGAAGGGAGCGAGCUACGUCGUCGCCGAUCCGUUCGAAGAUAGGACAGGUUUUCACCCCGGCCCAUACUCACCGCCAUCGAACACCACACCCCGGCGACCAUGCCGCCCUCCCGACCAUGGUCACUGGGCAGCACCAAGGCACGGGCUUUGCCCAUGAGCACUGCAACACCACCACCAGGGCCGCCACCCCGGCAUCCAAGACCUCGACGCCACCUCACCAGUUACCCAGUGCUACACCACCUAUAGAGACGGGUGGAACGGCCCCACCUAUCGCACCCCUGAGCUGCCCCCAAUUGGCUGACAUCGGUCCGUCCUGCUGCCUGGCGCGAGACCAGCACAGUCCUGCCACCGGUCAUGAGACAGGCGCUGUCCUGCUGCCGAGCGCGAUACGGGCGCGGUCCUGCAGCCGUGCGCGAGACGGGCGCGGUCCUGCCGUCGGGCGCGAGACGGGCGCGGUCCUGUUGCCGGGCGCGAGACGGGCGCGGUCCUGCUGCCGGGCGCGAGACGGGCGAUGUACCAUAGCUGAGAAAAGCCCAGUCCUUCGAUGAAAGUGGUGCGUGGGCGACGGGGAGAGGAACCGAAGGCCGCCACGCGCGGCCUACGGUCGAACCGACGCCGAAACAUGUCAGCCACCACCGCAGCCGACAUGCCAAGCUACCGUGGGUCCCUCCACGGCCGGAGCAGCCGCCACACCAGGCCACUGCCCAUCCUGCGCCGCCCGCCGGACUCCAGGCGUUGAGUCCGCCGGGCACGCAGCCACCAGAUUGGCCAGCGCACCGGUCGCCCCACCUGCGCCGCCUCACGCACCACCAGACCUGCGCCGCCACCUCCACCACACACGCGCCGCCGCGCCCUGGCCAGAGCCGGCCAGCACCCCGCCCCACACACGAAGCAGCUGAGCUGCCAGCUGCCACGCCACCACCUGAGCCUGGCCGUCGGCCACCCCCAAGGGCCUCCGCCGCCGCCACCUCCCGGAUCUGGGCAGAGGCACCCAGAUCCGACGCCAGCAAGAUCCCCGCACACCCACCCCGGAUCCGCCAUGGGGGGAGGGCGGGAGGCAACGCUGGGACGCCAGGACGCCGAGGGGAAGGGGCCGAGCACGAGGGAGAGCCGACGACCGCCGCCGCAGCAGAGGAGGACCGCGCCCCCGCGACGCAAGACUCCAGGCGCGGGAAGAAGGCGCCCCGCCGCCGCCUACACCGCGCGUCCUUUUCCCGGCGACGCCACCAACGGCCGGGGGGGAAGCCGGGGCGAGGGGGGAGGGGGGUGGUGCUAGGGUUGGCUCCCGGAGUCGCUCGCGGGAGCGACUCGGGGAGCGAGAGAGGAUGGGUCCUGCUAUCGGCAAUCACCCUCCAACUUUUUUCAGGGUAGUAAAAUGUCUUUUUUUCUUUAGUAAAUAUGUUUUCUAAACUUUUUCUGACUUACUAUAUCUGUGUCGGGCGCUCUAGCAUACCCGCCACUGCUUACUUAAAUUUUGAGAGAAAUUGGCGCGUGUCACCGAAAUAUUGUUGUGACGGUCAUGCUUUUCGCCCGCCAAUGGUGCAUGAUAAACCCGUGGCGUGCAUUAAUUUAUCGGCCGACACUGCUGAUUUUAUCCCAGGGAUAAAUUUGUAAAAGUUUUUACAAGUGACGGUUAGUUAUUUGUGCCCGUCACUACUGUAUGCAUAGCAGUGGCGGGUGACAUUUUUUUAUCGGUCACUGCUAUUUUUUCAAAAUAGCAAUGACGGGUUUCUAUCCUCCCUCACCAUUAAUCUGAACCCAUUUGUAAGCCUUUUCCAAGUAGUGUAUGUAUUGUUAAUGUCGUAACAUCGUUCUGGCUCAUGUGUGAUACGCCGUGAUAGAAGUAUCACAAUGAACAGUAUGUAUAAUCCUCUUACAGUGUCUUGCGUGCAUUUGAAUACUGUUUUUGUACAUGGAUUUUUUUUAUUCUUUCAACGUCAUCAACGACCAGUAGCUGAAGCAUACUUUAUGUUGCGUUUGUAUAACUUAUGUGAACUUAUUUUCCUAUACAAUUGAACUGACAGAUCUUUACUACUAGGUUGGUGAUCGUACAGCCGCUUGCGAAGCCUUCAAUCCCCACGUACUGCAUUAACCCGAUCAGAUCAAAUCAAAUCUUUUACAACGCCUCCGUUGGUAGGUGUAAGGUAAUUGCAAUAAAGUCUUGUCAGAGUUGGUGGUGCAAUCAAAUCAAAUCAAAUCAUUUCCAGAAUUAGAAUAUGGUGGGUGUAAAAUAUAUAUCCGACCUGAUUGUGUUGAACCACUUGAAUAUGUAUGCCGCCGUGUUAACACAUGAGCAAUUAGCUAAUUUAUAAUCUUAGACUUGCUCGGUUGGCAAUAGUCAUUAGUUACUGUACUCGCUGCAUGAUAUUGAACAAAAAAACUUUAUAUUACUUUUUCUAGUUUUUAUU
rnacentral:lncRNA from 1 species